AUCACGCUGCGUUUUGGCGCCAGCGUUUUUAAAUCAGCGUCUGUGUUCCCCAUCUUGCUGCCUGUUAUCCAGACGCUGUUUUGGCUGUUUAUGCCCUGAGCCUGCUACUAUUUGCCUCCACAACUGCACUGACCCAUGAGUUCUAGACGAUCUAGAUCCGCUGCCAGUGGGAGUCCACAUCAUAGGCAUUCUGAUAGAAGAAGAGA